AGCAGUAGCCGCGGUAAUACGAGGGGGGCAAGCGUUGUUCGGAAUUAUUGGGCGUAAAGGGUGCGUAGGCGGUUUGAUAAGUCAUCUGUGAAAUCUCUGGGCUCAACCCAGAGUCUGCAGGCGAAACUGUCGGGCUUGAGUAUGGGAGAGGUGAGUGGAAUUUCCGGUGUAGCGGUGAAAUGCGUAGAUAUCGGAAGGAACACCUGUGGCGAAAGCGGCUCACUGGACCAUAACUGACGCUGAUGCACGAAAGCUAGGGGAGCAAACAGGAUUAGAUACCCCCGUAGUCCCUGUCUCUUAUAC
rnacentral:rRNA from 1 species